rnacentral:rRNA from 1 species
CCCUUAGAUGUCCUGGGCCGCACGCGCGCUACACUGAUGCAUGCAACGAGUUUAUAACCUUGGCCUGAAAGGUCUGGGUAAUCUUUUGAACGUGCAUCGUGAUAGGGAUUGAUUAUUGCAAUUGUUAAUCUUGAACGAGGAAUUCCUAGUAAACGCGAGUCAUCAGCUCGCAUUGAUUACGUCCCUGCCCUUUGUACACACCGCCCGUCGCACCUACCGAUUGAAUGGUUCGGUGAAGAUCUCGGACUUCGAUAUUUAUUCUUUAUUGAGUUUAUAUUGUGGGAAGUUAUCUAAACCUCAUCAUUUAGAGGAAGGUGAAGUCGUAACA